AGGGAUUAUCAAGUACAAGAAGAAGUGCGUGCAUGGGACGAGCAAGCUAAUUCCUGGAAGCGGACUUACUGCUAUGGUUGUGUUAAUGAUGACAGAGUGUUCCCAUCGUUGAAGCCAAACUGACAGAUGAGCCUGGUGUUGAUCCUUUUGCUCAAAGGAGGGAAGAGAAGAAGGGCAGCAUCGAUAAACAAGAAAAUAACAGACGUGGGAAUUUGAAGAACGGGCCAUCGUCGGAUUUUCUCGCAGGUGAGGGGAGGCGUUCAGGGGAUCGGCUACGAAGGCGCUGGCCACCAAGCGCCGAGCGGCAGCUAGCCUACAACGAAGAUCUGCACAAGGGCGCUACAAGAUCUGCAUGGACGUCCUAGAAUCCACCGGUCUGUAGUAACAUGAGUCCCACGCUCGGCCUCCUGCAAGGGCGACCUUUCCUACUCCCAAAAGCAGACCUGGUUCAAGAUCAGAGGCAACAAGUAAGCUCCUACUAUGUGUCUAUGUUAAUUUGUCAUCUCAGUAUAAUUCAUCCCCAUCCCACUACAUUUAGUUCAGUUCAGUUAAGUGAUUAGGCAUAAUGCGCGAAUGCAAGCAAGGUUGGGAUGAAUGGGUCG